GACGAACGCUGGCGGCGUGCUUAACACAUGCAAGUCGAACGGAAAGGCCCUGCUUUUGUGGGGUGCUCGAGUGGCGAACGGGUGAGUAACACGUGAGUAACCUGCCCUUGACUUUGGGAUAACUUCAGGAAACUGGGGCUAAUACCGGAUAGGAGCUCCUGCUGCAUGGUGGGGGUUGGAAAGUUUCGGCGGUUGGGGAUGGACUCGCGGCUUAUCAGCUUGUUGGUGGGGUAGUGGCUUACCAAGGCUUUGACGGGUAGCCGGCCUGAGAGGGUGACCGGCCACAUUGGGACGGGGAUACGGCCCAGACCCCUACGGGAGGCAGAAGGGGGGAAUAUUGCACAAGGGGGGGAAGCCUGAUGCAGCAACGCCGGGGGGGGGAAGACGGCCUUCGGGUGGUAAACCGCUUUCGCCUGUGACGAAGCGUGGGUGACGGUAAUGGGUAAAGAAGCACCGGCUAACUACGU
rnacentral:rRNA from 1 species